CCUACGGGGGGCUGCAGUGGGGAAUAUUGGGCAAUGGGCGCAAGCCUGACCCAGCAACGCCGCGUGAAGGAAGAAGGCUUUCGGGUUGUAAACUUCUUUUCUCAGGGACGAAAAAAGUGACGGUACCUGAGGAAUAAGCCACGGCUAACUACGUGCCAGCAGUCGCGGUAAUACGUAGGUGGCAAGCGUUAUCCGGAUUUAAUGGGUGUAAAGGGUGCGUAGGCUGUGAGGUAAGUCAGCGGUGAAAUGCCCCCGCUCAACGGGGUGAAGUGCCAUUGAUACUGCCUUGCUGGAGUGCGGAUGCGGUGGGAGGAAUGUGUGGUGUAGCGGUGAAAUGCAUAGAUAUCACGCAGAACACCGAUUGCGAAGGCAUCUCACGAAUCCGCGAUUGACGCUGAUGCACGAAAGCGUGGGUAUCAAACAGGAUUAGAUACCUUUGUAGUC
rnacentral:rRNA from 1 species